rnacentral:rRNA from 1 species
AAUGAACGUUGGCGGCGUGGAUUAGGCAUGCAAGUCGCACGGGCCGCGAGGCCAGUGGCGCAAGGGUGAGUAAGGCGACGGUAACCAACCCCGGGAUCGGGUAUAGCCGCGGGAAACCGCGGGUAAUCCCCGGCGACGUCACCAGGGGGCAUCCCCCGGUGACCAAAGUCCCGGCGUCCCGGGACGGGCCGUCGUGGUAUUAGGUGGUUGGCGGGGUAACGGCCCACCAAGCCUGUGAUGCCUACCGGGCGUGCGAGCGUGGCCCGGCACACUGGGACUGAGACACUGCCCAGACUCCUACGGGAGGCUGCAGUCGAGAAUCUUCGGCAAUGGGCGCAAGCCUGACCGAGCGACGCCGCGUGGAGGACGAAGGCCUU